rnacentral:tRNA from 1 species
AAACAAAUAGCUUAAAGUCUUAAAGCAUUACAUUGAAGCUGUAAAUAUAGAAUGUUUCUUUUGUUUA